rnacentral:rRNA from 1 species
GACGAUCGCUGGCGGCGUGCCUAAUACAUGCAAGUCGAACGCAGUGGGGACGGGUGAGUAACCCGUGGGUAACCUCCCAUCAGAGGGGAUAACACUUGGAAACAGGUGCUCAACCGCUACUGCUGGAUGGACCCGCGGUGCAUUAGCUAGUUUGUGAGGUAACGGCUCACCAAGGCCACGAUGCAUAGCCGACCUGAGAGGGUGAGCGGACACAAUGGGACGGAGACACGGCCCAGACGACUACGGGAGGCAGCAGUAGGGAAUCUUCGGCAAUGGACGAAAGUCUGAACGAGCAACGCCGCGUGAGGGAAGAAGGUUGUAGGAUCGUAAAACUCUGUUGUGAGAGAAGCGGUAUCUAACCAGAAAGCCACGGCUAACUACGUGCCAGCAGCCGCGGUAAUAC